rnacentral:rRNA from 1 species
GACGGAGGAUGCAAGUGUUAUCCGGAAUUAUUGGGCGUAAAGCGUCCGCAGGUGGACAUACAAGUCUGCUGUCAAAGUGCAGAGCUUAACUCUGUAAAGGCGGUGGAAACUGUAGGUCUUGAGUAUGGUAGGGGUAGAGGGAAUUCCCGGUGUAGCGGUGAAAUGCGUAGAUAUCGGGAAGAACACCAGUGGCGAAAGCGCUCUACUGGGCCAUAACUGACACUGAGGGACGAAAGCUAGGGGAGCGAAAGGG